rnacentral:rRNA from 1 species
AUUGAACGCUGGCGGCAGGCCUAACACAUGCAAGUCGAGCGAGCGGCGGACGGGUGAGUAAUGUCUGGGAAACUGCCUGAUGGAGGGGGAUAACUACUGGAAACGGUAGCCAAUACCGCACACCAUCAGAUGUGCCCAGAUGGGAUUAGCUAGUAUGUGGGGUAACGGCUCACCAAGGCGACGAACCCUAGCGGGUCUGAGCGGAGGACCAGCCACACUGGAACUGAGACACGGUCCAGACUCCUACGGGAGGCAGCAGUGGGGAAUAUUGCACAAUGGGCGCAAGCCUGAUGCAGCCAGGCCGCGUGUGUGAAGAAGGCCUUCGGGUUGUAAAGCACUUUCGGCGGGGAGGCGUUACCCAAAGAAGAAGCACCGGCUAACUCCGUGCCAGCAGCCGCGGUAAUUC